UGGGGAAUAUUGCACAAUGGGCGCAAGCCUGAUGCAGCAACGCCGCGUGAACGAUGAAGGUCUUCGGAUCGUAAAGUUCUGUUGCAGGGGAAGAUAAUGACGGUACCCUGUGAGGAAGCCCCGGCUAACUACGUGCCAGCAGCCGCGGUAAUACGUAGGGGGCUAGCGUUAUACGGAUUUACUGGGCGUAAAGGGUGCGUAGGUGGUCUUUCAAGUCGGUGGUUAAAGGCUACGGCUCAACCGUAGUUAGCCUCCGAAACUGGAAGACUUGAGUGCAGAAGAGGAAAGUGGAAUUCCCAGUGUAGCGGUGAAAUGCGUAGAUAUUGGGAGGAACACCAGUAGCGAAGGCGGCUUUCUGGACUGCAACUGACACUGAGGCACGAAAGCGUGGGUAGCAAACAGG
rnacentral:rRNA from 1 species